GGCCGCGUGGUGGAAUGGUAGACACUAGGGACUUAAAAUCCCUUGGGGCGUAAGCCCCGUGCGGGUUCGAAUCCCGCCGCGGCUA
rnacentral:tRNA from 1 species